GCAAGCCCAUUUCUUAGCUGGAUGGGUGAAGUGUUCCCUCAGUUCACAUAGACCAGGCUUCCUCUUUAGAGGCAUAAGCUGUAAAACAGGAGAGUCUGUUUUAAGAGGAUCUGUUUGAAGUUUAAUGUAACUGAAGUCCAUGCACCUGAAGCCAUUAAUUGAUAUAAGUGGUUACCAAGGCAUCAGGGCAGAGACUCCCUGAGGCUAUGCUAGAAGGGUACCAUUUGAAAAGGAAGUGUAUGACCCACCGUGAAAUGGAACUGGUAGCUGGUCACCCAGGUGCUCUUCCUUGUUAACUGAUGAGAGCGAUUAUUAUGUGAGAACUUUAACAACCUGCCAAAGGAUCCCGGGGCAAGAAUGAGAGCUGAACCAUUGAAAAGCUGAGCAUCGAAGUGCCUGGGAAGCCCAAAACUCAGCACAUUCAUGCUUUUGCUGGUUUUUGACCAUUGAGAAGAAAAAAGAGUCAGCAACCAGGGAGCAGGAUGAGUGGAUCUGGUUCAGAACAUCUGUGAACACAGAGGGAGUGGAAACUUCACUUUCAACAUCAUCAGCCAACUUCCCUCCCAUUACAAUUCUAUCUCAAGAUCAAGGUCAUGCAACAAAAGGCCACAUCCACUACUCCUACAGUUCCGUUUCAGAGGCCAUCGGAGCUCUACAUCUAUUAUUUACUACCGAUAUCCACAUCAAGCCUCCCUCCCUUGCUCUUCAUGAAAUGCAUCCACGAUGGGACAUUGAUCUCAUUAUUCUGUGAGG
rnacentral:lncRNA from 1 species